GCUCAGUUGGUAGAGCGUGGUGUUUGCAACGCGUUUGCAACGCCAGGGUUGUGGGUUCGAUUCCCAC
rnacentral:tRNA from 1 species